rnacentral:rRNA from 1 species
AUACGUAGGGAGCGAGCGUUGUCCGGAAUUACUGGGUGUAAAGGGUGCGUAGGCGGGAUGGCAAGUCAGAUGUGAAAUGCCGGGGCUCAACCCCGGAGCUGCAUUUGAAACUGUCGUUCUUGAGUGAGGUAGAGGUAAGCGGAAUUCCUAGUGUAGCGGUGAAAUGCGUAGAUAUUAGGAGGAACAUCGGUGGCGAAGGCGGCUUACUGGGCCUUUACUGACGCUGAGGCACGAAAGCGUGUGGAGCAAACAGGAUUAGAUACCCUGGUAGUCCACGCUGUAAACGAUGAUGACUAGGUGUGGGGGGACUGAACCCUUCCGUGCCGCAGUAAACACAAUAAGUGAUCCACCUGGGGAGUACGUUCGCAAGAAUGAAACUCAAAUGAAUUGGCGGGG